GACACUUUCCCUUGUGGGGCGUGAUAGUGUGUGCCUCGUUGCAGAAGGACCCCUGUAUGCAGAAGUAGAGGCGCUGGCCUCAGGCUCCUCCACUUCCUCUUGGACAGAAGACGCUGAGCAUUUUUUCAGGAAGUGGUCACCCCAGUGGUCCCCGGCUUUCUCAGACUUCCUGCAGCUCUCUACACAGUGAAUCACAGUGAGACACUGGCAGCAGGCACCACGGAAGGGACCCUCAAAUCUGAAGGCUCAAGGUCCUGGGAAAAGAUGAAGUGGAGCAUGCCUCUUGUUUCCUCCUAUUAGAUGCUGAGUGUUGGAAGUUCUUCCUAGGAUUCACAAAGAAACUCCUGCUCUUCUUCCACAUACUUUUUCCUGGGAAAGAAAACUUGUUUCACUGGCAGAAAAGAUCCCCACUGUUAAAGUGAGGUAAAGAAGAUUCUUGCUUCCUCUUUACGCAUCUGCCAUGAUUGUAAGUUUCCUGAGGCUUCCCCAGCCAUGCUGAACUGGUCUUAGAUACAUGACGGCACUGUUGUCUUCCUGAAAACCUCUUCAUCCUGCAGAAGGUGCAACUCCACAGCAUCCUGAGAGGUUGGACAUAAGGCUUGGAAAGAAUGAAUGGUGCCUCUCGGUGAAUUCCUACAACCUGAAUCCUGUGACCCCACCUGUGAUGGCCCAAUGUUAUUGAAAUUACUGACUCCAUCCACUUAGCAAGUGGUAAAUACUCUGCAGGCAUAGAUUUGACUAAUGUGUUCUGUUCAGCGCCUGUUUCAACAGAUCUCAGCUGCAGGUUGCUUUCACCCCUGAAGGGACACAAUAGACCGUUAUCUGGUUACCACGGGGUACCUCGACAGUUCUGCCACCAUAGACAAUCUUUGGAGGCAGGAUUUGAACUGCAUCUGAC
rnacentral:antisense_RNA from 1 species